rnacentral:lncRNA from 1 species
GGAUAGCCCUCACCGACAGCGCCCCUUCCCACCCGGAGAGAGGCAUCGACCCCCAAGGAGGGCUUCGUCAGGCAGCCUCUGCCACUCCUGCAUGGCUGCGACCCGUCGAGCGGAGCGUCGUGGUAGCUGAGACCUGGUGCCCUUCGACGGCCUGGCUGAUCCGGGGCCCAGCUGCAAGGAGGGGAGAGACCAGAGUCCUCCUCUCCAGGCAAAGUUGAACACCAGGCCUGGCAGUGACGGGCAGGAGAAGGGGCCAGGCAGGUACCUGGGACAGGGCUUCCCCUUCACCACUCCCCUACCCUGCUGCCUGUCCCCAGGACCCCUCCUAGACCUUCCUGCUGGGCUGUCUGCACCUUUCGAGCCACACCUGGCGGGCAGUGUGGGCCCAGCGCUUGGGGGGAUGAAAGAUGAAGGUUCGUGACCAUUUUUUAACUCAAUAAAGGGAGAGACAAGCUGC